AUGUGUCAAAGGAGCUUGCUAGGACAAUCAUUGCUUGCAACAUUCCUCCAUCACUUGGUUAAUUCCCUGCAUAUGCACUUGCCUAGCCCCUGGCCUGAACCUGUUCUCUUUUGUGCUUCAGAGAAGCAUCCCAUGUUAGUGCUUGCUGCUGCUCCUGCUAUAUGUUGGCAUUUCCGGUAUUACCCUUUGGGGUGCCAUUUACUUGCCUUUGCGAUUAGUUAG
rnacentral:rRNA from 1 species